rnacentral:rRNA from 1 species
AUACAGAGGGUGCGAGCGUUAAUCGGAAUUACUGGGCGUAAAGCGCGCGUAGGCGGCUUGGUCAGUCGGAUGUGAAAGCCCCGGGCUCAACCUGGGAAUGGCAUUCGAUACUGCCAGGCUCGAGUAUGGGAGAGGGAAGUGGAAUUUCCGGUGUAGCGGUGUAAUGCGUAGAUAUCGGAAGGAACACCAGUGGCGAAGGCGACUUCCUGGCCCAAUACUGACGCUGAGGUGCGAAAGCGUGGGGAGCGAACAGGAUUAGAAACCCUAGUAGUCC